rnacentral:rRNA from 1 species
AGACCGGCGCACGGGUGCGUAACGCGUAUGCAAUCUACCUUGUACAGAGGGAUAGCCCAGAGAAAUUUGGAUUAAUACCUCAUAGUGUUAUUGAAUGGCAUCAUUUGAUAACUAAAGUUCCAACGGUACAAGAUGAGCAUGCGUCCCAUUAGUUAGUUGGUAAGGUAACGGCUUACCAAGACAAUGAUGGGUAGGGGUCCUGAGAGGGAGAUCCCCCACACUGGUACUGAGACACGGACCAGACUCCUACGGGAGGCAGCAGUGAGGAAUAUUGGACAAUGGGCGCAAGCCUGAUCCAGCCAUGCCGCGUGCAGGAUGACUGCCCUAUGGGUUGUAAACUGCUUUUAUACAGGAAGAAACACUGCUACGUGUAGCAGCUUGACGGUACUGUAGGAAUAAGGAUCGGCUAACUCCGUGCCAGCAGCCGCGGUAAUACGGAGGAUCCAAGCGUUAUCCGGAAUCAUUGGGUUUAAAGGGUCCGUAGGCGGCCUUAUAAGUCAGUGGUGAAAUCUCCUAGCUCAACUAGGAAACUGCCAUUGAUACUGUAGGGCUUGAAUUUUUAGGAAGUAACUAGAAUAUGUAGUGUAGCGGUGAAAUGCUUAGAUAUUACAUGGAAUACCAAUUGCGAAGGCAGGUUACUACUAAUGGAUUGACGCUGAUGGACGAAAGCGUGGGUAGCGAACAGGAUUAGAUACCCUGGUAGUCCACGCCGUAAACGAUGGAUACUAGCUGUUCGGUCUUCGGACUGAGUGGCUAAGCGAAAGUGAUAA